rnacentral:lncRNA from 10 species
CAGUUGAAAAUAGAGACUAGGUCCCAGGGGAAAGAUCAUACUGAAAGCCACGGAACUGGAUAAUAUUAAUGGACAGUGUGUGCAGAUACAUAAAAGAAGUAUGGAGAAAAUGCAAAUUCAAGAAGAUGUGGAAAUGUUGCAGACAGUAAGUAGGAGUGGAGAGAGAGAAAGAGAGAGAGAGAGAAAAGGAGAGAGAGAGACAACAUUAGCAGUGUCACUGACCUAAGCACCGUA